CAUUCAUCUGCUAGUGAGCCUUCAUUAGGGUGCUCAAAUAUCAUAAUAAAAAAUUUGAAGUUAUCUGUAUGCUGCUGGACUCUCUGAGCAACCUCAAUGCAAGCCUAGAUUUUCAGCAAACUACAGGAGACAUAGGGGAAGGUCAAGGCUAAGAAACCUUCUUGGAAGAUUGGUUCCUCGUUUGCUACCAAGAAGGCCACAAAAGGUUCACCUAAAGUCCAGAUUGA